rnacentral:piRNA from 1 species
UCCAGCUGCUAAACUGUCCCUACCACGUGA